GCAUCGGUGGUUCAGUGGUAGAAUGCUCGUCUGCCACGCGGGCGGCCAGGGUUCGAUUCCCGGCCGAUGCA
rnacentral:tRNA from 1 species